UUUCCGUAACCACACGAAUAGUAGGUCAUGUUUACAAACAAACUGCGCAGUAUAUAAUGUGUCGUUGCGUCAGGGAUUUAAGUUAUUCUGGAUUGUGUUUCUGCUUGUAUGUGUGCGCGGGCCAUGGCAGUGAUUCGUGCAGCCCCAGUGAAUACUUUGACAGCAGUACACAGAGUUGUCAACCUUGCUCCGAACCGUGCACACGCGGAGGCGACUGUCUCGGCUGUAGGCCACAAGGUCAAACGGAUCUCGCGCUGUGUUAAGAAGCAAACAGCCUGAUUGAAGCGGAACGAGGAUUUGGAGCUUGCAGUGAGAGAAGGCUAUGUUGCAGCACCCUAGCUGUGUGUCCAACCGGCCAGGCCUGCCAUACUGAUUACUACUACGACGUUGAAUGGGGCGGAUGUCGAAGUUGUGCAGAGCUCUGUCAUCAGGCGGAAGUGCAUGGGACGCUGAAGAAAUGUAUGGAUCUAUGCCCAGUUGAAACCACACCGAGGAAGACUACAACACACAGUCCCCGAGUCGUUCCGACGACAGCCAUUACAGAUGACGGAACAACUGAACAUCCAACCAACCAUGCUGCCAACACAGUAAUGGCGGUGGCAGUGUUGAUUGCGGUCUUGUCAGCAGCAAGCGUAGCAGCUUUGGUGUUCCUUAAGUUGAGAAAAGUGAUGAAGAACCACCCAAGAUGUGUUCCCACACCUGUCCCUCUCAUUAAUACAGAUCUCAAUCAUAGUGAGUGCUCAAGAGAACCCAAUAUUGAGUUGGGAUUUAUGCAGCAACAACCCGAUCCAUCAAAGGCAAUACAAGGUGUGGCUGAAUCGUGGGAGCCAGACUAAGAGGCAUGCAUAGUGCACGCUGGACUGUUUGUAAAACCCACUGAAUGAGUGUUAUUCUUCAGGACAGAGCACCGAUCACAAACCUGCCACCAUGGCAUACAGUGCUUCACAUUCCUUGAAAGCUAGUCUUUACCAGAUUUUGCACCGUCGAAAUUUCACUUUCUUAACUGGAAGAAAGUACUGUCUGGCAAGAAAGGCGUUUUACAUCAACAAGAAGUUUUCUGCGCCAGUAGUUUCCAGAUACUCGAGCAUAUUUGGAAGACGCUUUCGAGUGAGUGAGUGAGUGGGUAUGGUUGUACGCUGCUUUUAGCAAUAUUCCAGCAAUAUCACGACGGGGAACACCACAAAUGGGCUUCACAUUUUGUACCAAUGUGGGAAUUCGAACCCGGGUCUUCAGCGAACGCUUUAAUCACUAGGCUACCCAACCGCCCCGAGGAAAAAUGAAUAAAAACGAGAAAUGUAUAUUCGAUAUAUAUUCGUAUUUCAAACGUGUAUCAGGGUUGUGUUAUGGGCCUUACCUUAGCUGUGUUUCGGCGACUGUUUCCAGCCUAUCACGUUAACAUUUCAGCCGAUAACGUUUGCAAUGUUGUUGGUCAUUAAAAUUUUCAUGUGUAUACUUUCUUUUGCACGACUUAUCGUACAACAGUUUGACUAAGAUGAACUAGCGAAGACCCAGAGAAUGCUUGUUAAACCGCAAUAAUUUAUUUAAUCCUAUUGCAACUAUAACGGGACAACCUAUAGAACAUCAGCGUCACCUGGACCACAGUCACGAACGACCGCUUUAACCGUUAGGCGACCCCAACGCCCCAGACGCUUUCGAACAUCGGAGGGAAAUAAGUGAAAGAAAAUUAACAACCAUAUACAUCGACGCAAUGCAUCAUAGUUGGGUUCAGAACCUUUCAACCACUCAUGGUAUUGCAAUAGCGAGAUAUCUGUACAUAGUGACUACAAUUCAUAUUAUGACAUUUAUGACAUUGUGUGUCCCCCGAGUCUCUUCGUCGGGUCAUUAUACUACCUUUGAAUGUGUUCUGCCACUCUGUUUUGUUCUACCAUAGUGGCACCUUUGUAGUGAUGUGUAUUGAUUGCUGAACUGUGUCGAUUUUAGAAUAAUGUGUUAAUAAAAGUACAUUUCUUUUUUGUUGGUCUCACGCCUAGUUUUACGAACUGAUACCAGGUUAACCCUUUCAAUUCAGCCUGGCAAUCAACACGCAACAACUAUUGUAUGUUUACACCUAUACCGUUAGUCAGUCUGUUAUUCUAAGGUGGAUUUGUAGUGCCGGUCAGGAAAUGCCCACAGCCUGACCUGGAGUUCCGCUCCUUUAUGUUUGCGCCUGAAAUUCCACUUUCAGUUGCCCUUGACAUUUCAGAGCAUGUAUUCCGCGUAUUGUGGGUUUGGUACAAUGUUGUGUAUUAAAUGUUUAACGGUAAA
rnacentral:misc_RNA from 1 species